rnacentral:rRNA from 1 species
CCCUUAGAUGUUCUGGGCUGCACGCGCGCUACACUGAAGCGUUCAACGAGUAUUCACCUUGCCCGGGAGGGUUGGGUAAUCUUUUGAAAACGCUUCGUGAUGGGGAUAGAUUAUUGCAAUUAUUAAUCUUCAACGAGGAAUUCCUAGUAAGCGCGAGUCAUCAGCUUGCAUUGAUUACGUCCCUGCCCUUUGUACACACCGCCCGUCGCACCUACCGAUUGAAUGGUCCGGUGAAAUCUCGGGACGGCGGCUUGGUCGCUUGCGUCCGACUGCUGAAACUUGAUUAAACCAUAUCAUUUAGAGGAAGGUGAAGUCGUAACA